AAACAAGCCUAAGGAUAUGGAUGUAAAAGAUUGGAAGUAUUUGGUUAAUCUUUGGACAGAAAAUGCAUUUCAGAGAGAAGCAACAAAAAUAAGACAAAUAGAUGCAAGCGUUUUAUGCCGCCAUACACGGGGACAAAAAGCUUUGCUUGGCUGAGAGAUCAUAUGAAGAACAAAAAAAAUGGAAAAACACUUUCUCGCUUAGAGCUUUUUCUUGAAUCCAGAAAGAGAAAGCAAGGCAAAGAAAUUGAUCCAAUAUCACAAGAAGCCAUUGAAAAGUUUCAGCAACUAAAGAAAUAACGAGAAGAAGGACAAGUUUCACUGGAUGAUGAUGCUAUGUUUGCUGAUGUACUUGGGCUAGAAAAAAUGGUUAUGUACGUGCUUAUGGUCCUGGAAAAAAUGUUACGGAAUAUUUUGGUGCUAGACCUACAAAGAUAGAACUACUUAAACAACUUGAUACUUCAAGAAGAGAAGCAAACGAGCGUAUCCAACAAAUUCAAAAAGAAGCAAGUGAACAAGUAAAUGAUGUUAAGAAGCAAAUGGAUGAGAAACUUGCAGAGAUGAAUAGAAUAUGAGAGCAGAAAUUCAAGAUGCUUUUGGAGAAAAACAAUAAUAUUGCAUCACCUAUGGAGGAUUCCCAAGAUGAUGAAAUUGGAGGAUGAUUUGCAGUAUAUUUGAAGUUUUGGAUUUUGAAGCAGCCAGCAGCCUUAUAAUACUACUUUUAAAAAAUUUAGAUAUUAAUAUUAGUGUUAGUAUGGUAUUAUAAUUUCAAGUAUUUUUAGUGUGAUUGGUUUAUGACUUAAAUUAGUUUAUUUUGGAUAUUAGUUAUUUUGACUUAAAUGUAUUGUUAUUUUA